rnacentral:sRNA from 19 species
GUCAACUACCCACCGCUAAUUGCUAAGAGCAAUUUAGCGUGGGCUUGCAAAGAACUAAAUGCCAAUUAGUUCCAGCGAGACGAAGCAGUUGUCUAGCCUGUGCGGAAAACGUAACCUGAGCUAACUGAACAUGGCAGUUCAAAACACAUUACGGAUGCUUCUCUAGUCUGUAAUUCCUGUG